rnacentral:misc_RNA from 1 species
AUCAUUCAGUAGCAAGAAACGAACGCGGGCAGGGGGAAGGAAGUGUGUCAGCCACGGGCGGAGGGCUCCUAGCUCCAGAGCCCGAGCGUCUCGAGGACGCGCACGGCGAAGAAGCAGAGGUAGAUGGCGAUGAGCCCCACCCCGUAGACGCGGUCGAUCCGCAUCCCGCGGACGGGCACCACGAACAGCGCCCACGCCAGCGCGGCGCCCAGGAACCCGACCGCCUCGUACGCCGCCGCGUCCGCGGGCACCGCGAACGGGGCCGGGUGCUGCGCGCCCGCCGCCAGCGCCAGCGACAGGCCCAGACCCACCACCGUGUUGAACAGCGGGCCCGCGUAGCACCCGGACACGGCGGUCUGCGCGCCGCCGGGCCCGCCGUGCACCGCCAUCGCCACGUUCGACACCAGGUCGCCCAGGGAGUCGCCCCACGCCAGCACCGUCACGCCCAGCACGCUCGGCUUGAUCCCGACCACGUACCCGAUGGCCACCAGGAGCGCCACCAGCUCGCGCGCCAGGGUGUACGCCCACAGCACGCUCAUCACGAACCCCGCGGCGAGCCACGGCACGCGCCGCCUCCGCCCGCGCGGAGGGGACCUGGCGUCCGUGGUGGCCGCGGCCAGCGCCGCGAGAAGGAGGCCCAGGAGCGCGCCGCCCGCGAGCACCGCGAGGCUGUGCGACGACAAGGGAUUGUGGCGCUGCGAGGUCCACGUGAAGGCGAGCAGGACCGGCGCCAGCGCCGCGGAGGCCACGGCGUAGGGCCGGGACCAGCGGUGCCCGGCGAUGUCCGGGAUGGUGAGGCGGCGCGGCAGGUACAGCGGCAUGCAGAGCGCGCCCGCGACGCAAUGCAGCAUCGCUCUAGCCCUGGACGUGCCCUCCGUCUUGGAGGAGUGGGACGGCAGCGACGGGCCGCCGCCGUCGUCGUCGAGAACUGUUGUCCCGCCCUCGUCGGGCUCCGCCGCGCGGCUGCGGCCGAUGGGCGCGAAGAGUGAGGAGGAGGUCAGAAGGAGCAGGAGGAGCACGAGGAAGCAGGCGCUGGCGACGGCGUGGGCAGUGCGCGCGCGCAAGCGCCCGCGCGCGAGCGCCAUAAAAUGAGCGGCAGGGCGGGGGGUUUAUCCGGAGGUUGGGUCGGCCGGCAUGCCGCGCGGGGCGCGCGGGAGUUGGGGAUCGCGGUGCGGGGCGAGGCCGAGGCGGUCGUGGCCGGGCUGGCUCCUCGAGUCUUGACGAGAUGUGCGGGGGCGGAGGACUCGUGGGCGGCUCUGCUCGUCUGGAGCUGGAAGUUCAGGCAGAGGCAGGAGCAGGACAGGAGAAG